rnacentral:rRNA from 1 species
AGCGAACGCUGGCGGCAGGCCUAACACAUGCAAGUCGAGCGGCCGUAGCAAUACGGCAGCGGCAGACGGGAUAGUAACACGUGGGAACGCGCCCUUCGGUUCGGAAUAACUCAGGGAAACUUGAGCUAAUACCGGAUACGCCCUUACGGGGAAAGAUUUAUUGCCGAAGGAACGGCCCGCGUCCGAUUAGCUAGUUGGUGAGGUAAUGGCUCACCAAGGCGACGAUCGGUAGCUGGUCNGAGAGGAUGACCAGCAUCACUGGGACUGAGACACGGCCCAGACUCCUAUGGGAGGCAGCAGGUGGGGAAUAUUGGACAAUGGGCGCAAGCCUGAUCCAGCCAUGCCGCGUGGAUGAUGAAGG